UACGGAGGGUGCGAGCGUUGUCCGGAAUCAUUGGGCGUAAAGCGCGUGUAGGCGGUCCGGUAAGUCCGCUGUGAAAGUCGGGGGGCUCAACCCUCGGAUGCCGGUGGAUACUGUCGGUCUUGAGUACGGAAGAGGCGAGUGGAAUUCCUGGUGUAGCGGUGAAAUGCGCAGAUAUCAGGAGGAACACCAAUUGCGAAGGCAGCUCGCUGGGACGUUACUGACGCUGAGACGCGAAAGCGUGGGGAGCAAACAGG
rnacentral:rRNA from 1 species